AGGGCCGAGGGGGGUGUUAUUAGCGAGUCGACCCUGGCGGCUGCCACGACGGACCACACACAUCGUUGCAUCGCGAAGGGAGAAACGGCAACAGACGAGGAGAAAGGAAAGAAACAGGUCGACAGGAAGAAGCGAAAAGAAGGAAGGAAGAAAACGGGAAAAGAGGGAUACAGAAGAAGAAGAGAGACGAAGAUAAGAGAAAUCUUCUUUGCUCCACCGCCUUCGACGUCUCCACUGUCCGUUGCGUGUGCAUCAAUCGAACCUUCUUUCCUUCCUUCCUUCCUUUCUUCUCAAUCUUCCCUAUUUCCUUCCUUCCUUCUUCCAAUCGCUUUUCGAACGUUUCGUCGAAGCGCGAGCUACCAUUAUGCACUCUCUUCACGGACGCCCGUUACGUUUUAUGUCUUUAUCCCCGCGCUGUGUCGAUUGAGAUGAAAGCGCCGACGACCAGGGAUCUUCUAUGACUCUGCCCUGUUCGCUGCACCGGCACUCCGUAUUCUGGGAGACGCGUCUGUAAUUGUACAGGGAAUGGUCAUCGAUGCUCGAUAAUGGGACGCUCGCGAAACGCUCGAUGCGUUCCAACGCUUCAUUGCAAUUAUGAUUGCUCGUAUUUACGGGCUGGGUGUAGUGGUACAUUUUCACGCGACGAUAAACCGUGACAUUUAAUGCCAUGACACUAAACGUCAUGAUUUCCGAAGCAUCAAAUUUUUGUCAUCAUGGCGACUUCAUGGGUGGGAAAAGGGAUAAGAAAGAAACCUUGCCAGGAUUCGUAACAAAUGCGAAUACAGAAGCUUAGCUGGUAGGAAUGUUAAAACUAUACACGGAUAGGGUAUAAAGGAAUAUUAUAAAAGGUUCCAGCCUAAUUUGAAUCGCAUUCUCUUCGAGGUUGACGUUAAUCCUCGAUAACGGUAGCAACGACACUAGCUUUCGAAGUGUCCUCAAAUCGCCUCCGAGUGACAUCUUUUCAACUUCGACCGAUAAACCGGUUCACCGAUGUCCUCAAGUAUGGGUAAGCGAGUUCUUCUUUUUUUCACCACGUCCCGAAACAUCGGCGUGCAAUUAAAAUCGGGCUUAAGUCUGGUCGACUGACGUUAAUCCUCGAUAAUGGUGGCUAGGAGUAUGGUUGGCGAGAUCCCUUUUACUGCACUCGGAACAGAUAACGACGCUUCGUAACCCGUUGACGUUGUUUUCUCGUUGGGAAGUCAUACACGAUCCUCCUUGGAAAGUACGAUAUAACCGCGGAUGAACCUCGAAGACUUUAACGUUGAUCCGAUUUUAUACGGUGAACCGAGGACUUUCAUUUUCAGAAGCAAAUUCCUAAGGUCCUUUUUCUGGUUUUUGUUUGAAACCAAUGAAAAGGGGGUAACUAUGCGGUAUAGGGGAGCCAGCUUCGACGACCUUGACCUUGAUACAUAAAAGGGUAAACAGGGGAGGGAAUAUAUUCGAAAAAUCCGCGGAUCGAGGAGUUUCUCAUAUUUUCUUCCGUUCGUCAUCGCUGCAGAGGGUCUCACGCGAUACUUGGCGUAUACUUAUUGUUAGAACUCGCCCUCGUAGGAGCUCGCGUGUACAAACUCGCGCGUAUCGUAUUUCUCGCUACCCGGGGGGUGCUUGGGCCCUUUUAAUUCCGCGUGUAAGACAUUGUCCGCUUUAAUUACCUACUCUUCGUCGUCGAUGGUGGCCAACGGGCACGAAAGAGGCCGCGGAGCAGGAACGCAGGAUCUGCUCUUCUGUUCGUCUUUCUCGCGCUCCCUUUCCGCGCCGGCCUAAGAGAAUGGCAGAGAUUAUGUUGCGGCUUACACCGCGACGGGAUCCCUCCUUCUCUGGCGCAGACUUUAGCACGGAGAGGGAACAAAUUACUUAGUAAUACUGCUCGCCGAAAAUUUCGCGCCACCUGCGGUUUUGCGGUGGGUACCCAGCUCCGCGUACACGUCUCAGCGGUGUCGUACAAACGAACGCUCUGCGGUCGAGCCGUGUUACCUUUUCGAAGAGCCACGCAACACUGGCUAGCAAUCGCUUCUAAAAUUAAUCCCCAUAGGAUCGUGAAGGAUUCUUUCAAUUUAUUAAAUCUUCCAACGAUACGAUCUUCAUCCAGAGCCACCAUGUUAAUUCACAUCGUAAACCUCUUGUUCAUGGUGGUAGCAAUUGAAAUCUGUUCUUUUCUUGGAGACGUAUGGUAUCGUUGAAACGACGAUCCAUUAUGGUAAUGAAAAGACGUAGCAAGAAAGUUACUAAUGUGUUGCAUACACCUUGAACAGGGAUAUCCCCUCCCGUCAUUUGGACGUGGUCGUUAAUAUUCAACGGCGCGGUCGGUCCGCUGCUGUUUCCAUUGUAAAAGUCGCAUGCAGAGUGGAUCACGCGAAUCGUGUCUUCUGUUUGGUUGAUGACGGAAAAAAGUGGCGCAGGAAAAAGUUGAAUACCAUACGAAGGAUUAUGCUCUUACGACCUCAUUUUUCUUCCAACUGCAGCUGCCAAGUGCAGCUGCAUCGUUUAGGUCGUAAUCUUGUUUUCUUUUCAAAUCGCGAUAAGAUUUAACUUGGUCUAUUUAAAUCACAUCGAUAUCUUGAAUUAUUUUAAUUAAUACAAUUAACAAGUAAACGCGCAUAAUCGAGGGAAUCGGUUCUUUAUCAUCAUCCCCCGGCCAGUUUUAAAGGCGCGACGCGACGCCAGUCAAUUACGGCGUUAUUUCGUUUGGUAGUCUGAAAGGAUAGCGAGAAUUCGCAAUAAGGAGCGGGACACCGGCUCGCAUCGGCAGAGAUACGCCGCCGUAGCUUUUAUCCGACUUUAUCCCCGAAAGUUCGCCGGGGCCAUAAAGCGUGCGCGCGGUCCGAGUUAAAUCAAAUUCGUUCCGCGAAACGGUCCUCUCUGGGAAGCAUGCGUUCCACGCACGCAAACGAGAUUCCGCGGCGACAUUCCCAAUCAUUCUUCCGCGGCGUGUACCAUUCACGGGGGUUAUAAGGCCGCUUCUCCGUAUCACGAACGAACGAGAAGGGGCGCGAGGUACCGUGAAGCCGUGAGGAGAAGGGACGAAAAAGGAGCAAAUUUGAAGUAACAUCGAGGAGAAGAGAGAGAGGGUACCAGCCGGGGUGGAACAUAAAUUAUUAAACGCGCUUUUAACGAUUUUUCAAGCAACAAUUCUGAUUAACCGUGAAGGGACGGUUCGAUAAUUUGCGGUCACAUUUAAAUCACGCACGCGGUACCGAAAGGGGCAGCAGCUAAGUGCAUCGAGUUUUAUCGUUAUUACGAGCGUGAGAAGAAAUAAGAGAAAGAAAAAGAUCGAGGAGGUACGAGCUUUCGCUAUCGCCAGUCCAAUAAAUAUCAGCGGGGCCGAAACGAAGUAGGUGCCUAAUCCCUUAUAACUGCACUGACUUGGUAUCUGUACGGAAAGUAUUCGGCCAGAAAACUGCUCGAAGAAGAGCCGGAUAGUUUCGAAGAAAUACCCGGUGCACGGGGUCGCCGGUGUUGCGGACACAGGCAGAAAUGAUCGCGUGAAAAAAGAAUGUGCCAUCUUUGGAUCGGUUCGCGUGCGAACCGCGUACGCUUUAGGAUUCACUCGCGAGGGCAGAGAAUGAAGCAAGCGGAGGUCAGGCGCGUGACAUAUACACCGCAGGCCGGCGGUGGUCUGCCAAUGGUCCCGCAAUAUUUCAUAAUUAGCCGUGAUGCCCGUACGUCGUGAAUACACACGCUCGUGUUUAUCCGUGCGAGUACGCGGCCGUUCGAUCUCCGUUCCGCACACGUGGAACCCCUCGUGCCCUCCGUCAUGCUACGCCACGAUGUUGUGCCUACACAUCUCCGAUUAAAUGCCGUAUUAACUUCGGGGCCCUUCAUAUUUUAGGGCCGCGGGAGAACGUUCUCGCGGGGGAGGACGCGAGGGGAAGGUGUUUUCGGAGUAUGAGGGAGAAGUGGUGGAGAUUCUACGGAUACCCUGAAUGGAAACAUAAAUUCUAGUUUGACCCUCCUUUGAUCCUUUUUGCGGCAGAUUGAAUUAAAAAAUGUUAUAAUUGUAAUUGUUCCGUUUGUGUUAAUUUCAUCUAUGAUUAAUAGGUUCAACCUAGAAUGUAAAUUUCGAGUAGGGCUAUUCUGUUCGCGAAAAGGGGCUAAGACGUGGAGAAAAUAAAAAGAAUUCAGAGAAAUGAAGCGGCAAGUAGGAGGGGGGAAAAGGAGUCGAAAGAGUCGGAAGAAGCGAAAGAGAAAAAUAGCGAGGAGGGGAAGAAGCAUCUCACGUCUGGAGGUAUCGUCAAGUGAUUUACGCGCACGAAUGUGGCGUAGGUACGAUAAUUAAGCGAGGAGCCGCUCGGGCUCCGAUCGAGCCGGGGCAGCUUUUCACUCUUCUCCAUUCGGCCGCGUGGGCGGUCUCUCGGGGCCCCGUCCAGAUUUGACACGCGUAUCAUAACCCUUUCGACUUAGUUCUCUCGAUUGCUUGCGUGUGCGUGCAUCUACCUGUACGUGCCGCUUGCGGACUCGCGGAUUUCACCCAACAGCUGCGGGAACACCCUGGUGAACUUUGAGAGAGUCCGCUCAGACCUGGUGAGCGUUAUUAAGUUAUACGAGGAGCAAUUGUAUGGGAACAUAUCUACGCUUUUACGGUGUUAUUACGCGAUCACUUUGAAAUUCUGGUUGCUCUUUCGCCUGCAUUCGGAAACGAGCACGGUUUACGUUCCGUUUCGAUCAACGACGGUCCACGAUGUCUCGAGCUAAAAGCGAUUUGAUUAAAAGCACAGUCGGAAAGUAAAAUAUGAACACCAGUUUCAUCGUGAAAUUCGUGUUACAGGUUAACUGGAGUGGAACUUUGCAAGAUAAACGAGUGUGGCUCGGCGGCGAGAUCCUGAUUGAAAUUGGAUCAAACGGAACAAACAAUCGAUCCCGACGCCAUGCCAUUCUAUUUCGCGAACUUUUGUUCCUCGAUGCAUAGGUUUUUCGUUUUUCUUGUUUCCCAUUGUUGAAGUGAAAAAAAGGGGCCGCGUUGUAUUUAUGGGGAACGAUAGUUCGCCAGAUCCUGUUCCAUUUGCAAUUGGAUCAAGCAAGACAAACGUUCGAUUGGUUCGCGUGCUUUACGAGCACGUCAGCGAUCAGUGUCGCGUCACUGUUCAUCGUGUAACGCGCGGUAUAAUUCGAACUCGGCCAACCGAUGAAUCAAUGACGUUAUCCGGUGUCCACCUGCAUACAUACGUCCUCUUGAUAUUUGCAACGUUAAUGCCGAACUAGAUCGUGGCUAACGUUUGUUUUAGCAGGCUAACGUGGAAAGGGAGACGGAUGAACGAGGAGACGGUCAAGUGGGGUGGUCCGUGCGUCUAUGCAGUCGUUUUUGUAGCUAUCGACUAUGGCGGUUACCUCUCGGCCUGAUACACGGCCUAGGAAUUCGCGAAAUCCGAAUGCAACUGGCAAAUUGCUGUCCAAGAAUCCGACGGUGGAAUUCCAUUGAACGAAAUGCCAUCACCGUGUUCUUACCUGGACGCGAAGGAAUGGAACCCGGCUCCUGAUUUCGGCUCCUUUAGCCUUCCUCUGACAUGGGACAUACACUGAUCGUUCAAAGUUACAUCAACUUUCAUAAAAUGAUAGACUUAUUUCGGUAUUUUCCUAUCAAUUGAUCCGAUGAAUGGACGUUGUUGAAAGAAAGGAUCCACCGAUAAAUGGUGGUUUGCAACAAGAAGAUGAAACUACUUACCAGAGUGCCUGAAUAAAUACCUCUUAGGAUACUCUAAUGCCUUUUAGUUGAAGCGAUAAUACACGGCAUUUCGGUCUUUCUACCUCUCUCUUUCCACUUCGGCUUCCUCCCUUCUGCUUGGAACACUCGGUACCUUGACGGUAAAUCCUUGGUUCUCUUCAGAGUUGAGUGCUAUGGAGAGUUGUCUACGGAUUAGAGCUCUAUAAGGACUUGGUCAAAGUGGGCUCAAAGCAGGGGGCACUUGAAGAAUACACGCAAUGUUAAAGGGCGAUGAGAAAAAUAAGAAGAUAGAAGGGUGCUUCGAAUGAAAAUUUGUUGAAGGGAAGAAUUUUAGGAACAAAGAAACAGGGGAGAAAUAAACUUUCUCGUAUCCUUUAACAAGAUUUCUUUAUUAAAAUAAUUAAGCUUAAGAGCUGAAAUACAUAUGAAACUCUAAAUGUUUGAAAAAUGAAUCUCUGCUGUUACUAUCGGGCCACCUCGUACGUAGCAGAAACACGCUAGCUCGUGAUACGGUGUUAGCCAUUAAGGAAAUUCGUGCACGAUGCAGGACGGUGAUCAAAGCGUAAAGUGACCGAUACUGGCAAGCGGGGAAACGCGGUCGGUUUGCUGUUCAGCCUCUAUUUCAGCCAUGAUAUUUCAGUGGCGCGGCUGACAAAUGAGCGGCAAUUGCUACUUGGUACACCGUCGGUGCACGAGCAAGCCAGCAGCCAACAACUUUCUAUCGCGCAGCCAACCGCCGGCGAAGGCAAAUGAUUUACCCCGUAAUACCGAUAGCUUGUAUGAUCGAUUCGAGCAUUAAUGCUAGGCCCGAAUGCACGAUCGAGCAUUGGCGGUGCGCGACGACCGCCGAAUGUAUUUCGCUCGGCGUUACACGCCGGCAUCGAUGCCCGAUAGAAGAGAACCUCACCAGAGGCAUAAGCAGAAACGGGGAUUGAUGUUUGUACUCGUACACGCGUACCUCGCUGCAAGAAUCAUGUAUAUUUACGCAGCUUCCUACCGGUUGCUGGUCAGUUCGCUUCCAUGUCGAAUCGCAUGCAUGAAAGGUCGGCUAAUCCGCAACGAUCUGUGAUUUAUCGAGUCUCCCUCUUGCGAUUAACCAUGCCCGAUUCUGUUGCAUCCUAGGUGGAAACGCUUCUGAAUGUUUGAUGGCACUUCGAUCUGCGAUGCCACGGGUAAUGAACCGCUAAUGCAUUGCGCCCUGUACGUUCGGACUUGUAUCGAAUGUGGCUCUGACUUUAUUAGCCUGUAAAUUCAGUGAAGGCUUUAAAUUUCCGUGGAUCGGUUGUGGAUUUUCGGUUCGUUUGGUUAAAUCGACUUAGGGUACGUUAGGUGAUAUUAGGAGAAUUUAUCUAAAUUCAACCUGAAACGAUGGAAAAAUUCAUUAGCACUUGUAAUACCGUCUCGUAUUUCGCCUUGGUUGAAACGGAACUACGUUAUUGACGUAUUGCGGUAGCAAAACCGGUUACCUGGUCGCGGCUGGUCGGUCGGUCAGGUCACAAGUAAAAUUAUUCCCGUCAUUAAACUGACGUCCCGGCGCCCUGGAGAUGAGGGCGCAGCGUUUACCGGUUUUAUGAGUACUUGCGUUUUACUGGUUUAAUCUCUGCGGGUUCGCGAACUUGCUGCUUCCAGCUCGCGCGGAUACGUAUUCAACCGCCUACUUUUAGAUCCUCUAAUUCAUCCUGCUUGGGUUUCGUUUCUUGAAAUCUUCAUCGGCCUUCUAAUUGACCUGUUCCUUUCGUUCAUCAUUCCGUACGGGGUUCUUGAUUUAACCCUGAAUUAUUCUGCCAUAUUUGAUCCUCCUGUAUCGUAGAAACGAUGUGCUAUACUCGCGAGAGACUAUCAAAGGUUUCGUUUAUUUUCACUCCAUUUAAACGAAUAAGUUAAUGCUUAGACCGCUUCGAAAGUUGGCUGGAAAUAUUGUAAGGGACGUGAACCGUCGCUUUUGUAUCCGUCGUUUUCAUUUCUCCUCCGAUCCACAAUCCCGUGAUUGCACGACGGAAGCGUCUCCUCUUUCCAAACUUCCAACAUCCUGCUUCUUGCCAGUUUCAUACGCCCCGUGCCGUGCCAUCAAUCACAGGAAACAUUACGGCAUUCUCUGGACGAAGCGAAGUUAUUUUCCACGGAGAAUUCAUCGAAACGCAUUGGAUAAAGGAUGCGUCUCUAUCAGAGACGAACGAGCUUUUACUUCGAUUCAGUGGCGAAUCGUGGGUAAAGUUGGGGUCACCCAUCAAUUCCGUCGAAUUCCGUAUGGUUCGUCGUAAUAUACUCGAACGAGGACAACUUUAAAAGCAUCCGCGUCCUGGCACGAUCGUUAGACGGUUUUACGACAGGAUGCAACGUGGAUGCAUCAGGAGCAUAAUUUAAAAUUAAAACGUGAGACGAUCUCCUGUGAUAUAAAUAUCUGACGGAUAUGUUCAGUAAUUACGACCCGGAGGCUAAAUUAAGUACGAUUUCUUCGUGGUUGAUGGGGUGCACUGUUCUCACGGUUGCUCCUUUGAUUUCAAGACUUCGACACUUUCCUUCCCCCUAGGGGAGACAGAGACGGAAAAAGGGUGAAAGACGCGACUGAAGGGCGGACGAGGGACUUGCCCGCAUUGCCGGCUGCACUUUAACAGGCAAGAGCGGCUUUUAGAACAAUAGCACUUCGGGGUCUCGAGUGCGUUACCUAUUCUUCUGACCAGCAGGAUUAUUAUACGUCGAGAGAACGGGCCCCAUUGCCGGAUGCCGUAAAGUAGUUAGGAAAGAAGUACGAGCUGCUUUCGCGGGGAAAAAAGAAGCCGUGCGAAAUUAAAAUUACCUGCUGCAUAAAAGUGCAUCGAGUUUUCCAUUCGUUUGUAGCAUGUAGAUUAACGAGCGUAUGAUUUCAUCAUUGCCUAUUUGUAAACUCGUGAGAAAGCAAACGCGUCGCGGAAUGUUCGUUCACUGGAAGAAUACUCGGGCACAUUGAUUGCGGUUACGAGGAAGUGGACAGCUUGUAAUACGCUCGCGAGUCUCGGCCGCCUACGUCGAAACCGCAGCCGCGAAGCGGAUUGUCUCGCAAACCGCAUUCGAUACACCAAAGUUGACCGAUUCGGACGCGGUUCGCAUUUUUCACGCUCGUUCGUGUAGAAGAAAUGAUUUUUUUUAUGUCGUGUGAAACAGUAUCAAGUAUUAGAAUAUUGAAAUCUCAAUAAUUCAAGCGACAAUUUAAUAAUUAUGCAACGUAUCUAUUUCGUACAGAUAACACGAAGCACCGUGCAAUUGUCAUUAAUAAAAAGCUCAUCGUGUAACGAUCGCAAGAUCGAGAGACAGCAUUCGGAGAACAGGUUCCAGCGGGUCAGGAUCGGCAGUUAAGUUGUACACCGUCGAGUGUAACAUUUUGUACGACAUGUCGCUCGUUCUUGUUUCGUUCUUCGAUUUCGAUAAUUUCGAUAAUACUUUCCACGGGCCGGCCCGUUCGGUCCCUCUUGUCGGUGUCUGUAUAAUGCCCACGAUAGUGGAUGUGCUAACGAUCCGUUAAGUUCGACGGCUAAUUAGAUCAGCCGUCCGGAUGUAACUAAUACGAACGAGCGAAUGCAAAUGAUAGCUAACGAACGACUUCUCUCGACCGUUCUGGCCAACGACGAAACGGAAAUAAAAAGAAAAAAAAAAAAAGAAAAAAAGAGGGUUGGUUGAAGUUUUUUCGAUUACCGAUUGGAUUCGUGCGAUCACGGACCCGCGGUCAAAUGAACCUCGCAUUUCGAUUAGGUGCUUCGCGAGAGGUUUUAUGCAUGCAUUGUGGUCGGUGAGCACAGUCCUUGGUAAAAGUUUCUGCCCCUUCACGCUAUGUACGAUAUAAAUUCCAUAGAGAAUAUAAUCAAUGCAGGAUAGGGUAAAUUUUCGUACUAUGCGGUGCCCUAUACUUCAAAAAAUGAAUGUGACUGAAAAUUAAAAAAAAUUCUUUUCUCUUAAUUAUUCGGUUAUACCGAAUUCAUAGUGCCACUGAUGCAGUGAUAGAAAUGGAGUAACAGGCAAUUAAAAUUUGCAAGAGCCGCAACGAAGGUUUUUUGAGGAAUAGCGAUAAAUAACGAUGCAACAACCUGUUGCGAGGCAACGACGAAACUAAUUCGACAAACGAACCCUUACUUUGUCACGAUCUCCGCCGCUCUAAAUUACGUUGCUCCUGAUGCUUAUUGGUCUUAACUGGUUCGUUAUCUGGAAUCGAUCGAUUUAAAUGCUCCGUGCGAAUUGAUACGACCGUGCGGAUUGGCCGGCUUCGCGUAAUGAGUACAAUUAAAGCAGUUAUAAAGGUGGAUUGUAUUUUAGAUGUACGCGGCCCAACGAAAGUCAUUAUGUCCCGCUGUCUGACAGCUACAUAUGUAUAAAUGCUCAAUUUGCGCGCCAGCGCGCGAAACAUUAAUCUUAUUAUUUUAAUUACAAAGGAUCGGGGUGGAGGGAGCAGGAGGGUUCCGUUCGGCGAUGCCUUAUAAAUAUAGAUGUCGACCGCAGGUUUUUGACCAUGUACAGUCCGCCAAAGUAGUUUCUCCAGUUCUUUCUUCCAUCCCUUUUACUCCUUCGGUACUUUUUUAUCACACCAAUGAUGAAUUUUCCACGUAUCGCUUUCAUUUGAAUCGGCCUGGUCGUUUUGAAAAUCGUGAUAGACAAGAUACUUGACAGAGAAAUUAAAAAUCUUUCUGAGUCAUACAGGAAGUCGGUUUCGUUCGAAUGACAUCGUAAAAACGAAAGCAAAGUAUCUCAUCGUCGAAUUAAGCAACUCGGCACGCAAGGGUUUCGCGAAUCGAAAACGAUAUCGUACGGAUAACAUCGAACGGCGGAGUUUCGAUCGAGGAAUUACGCGAACGAUAACCGGCAAUUAAUUCGGUGGGCCGUUCUGGCUGGCAUGCAACUCUUCAACGGUAACCGAUAAAUCUUACGUUGACACGGUGUUCCGCGGGCUGAAAGCAGCCUGGGUUCGUUAAUUUAUACCAAUCGCGAGGAACGCUCGUACAAAGAGGCCGUAAUAGCGUUCCGAGCUUAUUCCAUACGGAAUUUAUUUAUUACUAUCGGCGUUCCACGUGUUUCAAGUGCCGACAUUCGGCAUCGCUUUGCCCGCUUCCACCAGAUACAACGGGCGAACUCUUUCCGAGGUGCCAUAUUUGCUGCUUACUUUCUAAAUUCUUCCAAUAACGAGUCUCGACGGGUACACGUGUUUCGCGUAAAUAUAUCUUACGUGCAUAGGUAAUACCGUCGAUGCGAUCGAACCGUGGAAAUUCCUCCGCGAAAUAGGAAAUGUGGGUCGUUGGAUAGCCACCUGUACGAGAUGCAACUGUGAGAAAAUCAGGACGUUCGGAGAAUGUCGUCGAGGGUGGCUCUAAAGUGUUGGAGAAAUAAUCGCGAAACCUUCUUCGGUCACUGAUCACCCUCGGUUUUUAAUUAUCUCGCGAGAAGAAAGCGCAGGCUUUUAAUAUAUUCUAACGAACUAUUUUGGUCCGCGGUCGGUAAUUAAGAUUGAUGGCGAGUUCGAAUGCGUAAUUGCGCUGGACGGAGGCUUUCCUCUUUCCUUUUUUUUUUUUUCUUUCGCCGCAGCGCACUUCAUCAAUCAAAUAUCCUUUUUUAUUUCUCCUUUCCUUCGAGCUCUCACUCGACCGCUGGUGGUACGCAUUCCGAGCAAGCUUCACGCAUCUGCCAACGUGAACGGAGCCAGAUGGAUCGCAUUGUGAAUGCGCGAGGGCGUAGCAGCCCGCGCGAGUCCUUCCCGUACCGUCUCAUUGUGUCCGGGCAAAAAAUCGUCGAAUGGUAUAAAAGCGAAGCUUUCUGCUCGCGGAAUCCUCAGUCCAUCGGAUUAAGGAACAGAGCCACUCGAUGCAGCUCAUUCUAUUGUGCUUAUGAGUAUACAUCGGGAAGAACGACCGGCGGAUCGGUGGAAGCUUAAAUUUCAUUUCCUAAGAUUCUGAUCCUUUGCCAUCGUUUUUCACGAUUUCAGGAUCUCGAUGAUUCGAAGCGGGUAAGAAUCGGCCGCGAGUCCCGCGACGAAGCCACUUGCCACUGAUAUCAAAGUCGGCGUUCGUGCAUUGUCCGCAUUCGUCUAGGUUUGUUCGCGGCGUCUUUUAAAGCGUCUUAGCGGUCGCUCAAUAAAUUAGCAUUGUUCGAACAAGAGCGAGGAGGAGCAAGAGAGGAGACAAUUCUCGUGGCACACACCGCGGCGUUCCGCACCUGUUACCUUUUUUAGAGACACGCGGAGAGUAGAGAAGGAUAAGAAUGGAUGCCUUGACUCGCAAGAACAAGGGAAUAGAGAGGGAAGGAAAGGGUUCGUUGCUGGACCAAGCAACAGUCUCGAGCGGAAAGCUUCGCUAAACGCGGACGCGGCGAAUAUGCAACGGCGGUGACUUAAUCCGUAGUCUACCACGGGUUAAGCCAGUCCCGGAUACACAAUGCUGGCCACCCGGUUUCCGCUCUAGUUAGUGCGUAGAGCCCGUAAACAGAAUGACAACAUGAGCUCUAGACGCUGCAACCGAGUUCCUACUUGUUAGUCGUACAACGAGCACGAAAAAGAUUUCACCGCGGCACGACUCCCCUCUAAAGUGGCUCCGCUGAUUUGCUCGCCUUCUUCAACCAACCACUUUGUGAGAAUGAAAAUAACGUUUAUCUCUGAUGGUUCACGGGAUGAGCGGAUGGGAAAAAUUUUCCAACAAUUCUGAAAUAAUCGAACUCGGUUGAUUUUGCUUUUGCUUUUAUUUUCAGGCGCUCUUUUUUAUCGGAAAACCGAUGAGUUUUAGAUAUUUCAUUCAAUUCUGUUUUCCUAAAGGAACUCGGUUUUAUUUCAGAAUGUAGAUUAUCCUUAGGAGAGGGUAACACAGGUAUUUUCGGCGUCCGAUCAUAAGCUGUUAAACUCGGUAGGUGCAUGGCCGGCGCGUCUACCGAGGAUAAAUCACCAGAGGUUUACGCUGCAGUUUAUUGACGGCAUAGUCUCGAUGGCUUCUGAAUUUUACAUCGUGUUCCCUAAUGCGUUCCCUUGAUAGAGGUCUCGUUGUUUGCAGCCGCGCGUGUCAGCGGAGAAAUUAUGACGCCAAAUUCCAUUCCAAAAAACGUAUUAUUUUAAAAUCCGCAAAAUUACAUUGGACUUUUUUUCUAUCCAAAUUCGAUAAAUGAAAGUAUUUUUCUUAAAUUAAUAGAAGGUUAUAAAUUGAAUGCAUAUUUUUCACGGAUUACGACACAGUCCUAUACAUUUUCUCGUUUCACAGCGUUUGUGAAAAGUGAAAAAAAAAAAUAAAAAUAGAGAGGAAGAUUCGUCGUAACCAUGGCAUCGGAGUUGCAUAAAUAACGCUGAUUGUUCUCGGCGCCGAAAUUUUCGCUGGGAAAUCAAUAAUCGAAUAAUACCUGCAAACCGGGGAAAUUAGUUCUCCCGAAAUUUCAUGUAAUCUCGAGGGCUUGAGUUCUAAUAUGUAAAUCCUCUGACAUAACGGCCAGUUCGUUUUAGCGUGCUCCGAUUACCGCCCUUGCAGCCGGAUUUCGCGGGAGAACGUUUCCGUAUUAACCAUUCACGCGACAUUAGUACGAAUUAUCCUUUUUCCCUUGCUUAUCAACUGACCGGGAAUAAAUCGGCCUGCUGGUCUGUAUUAACUCAACUUGCCGCUUAAUAAAAGUCACGAGAGAUUAUAGCUGGCAAUCUGUACGUGGGAUCGUUAAUGGAUUGCGCAAUUAAUUCUUUUCGUUCCUUUCUGUUGGGCAAAGAACACGGGUGAUUACAAAAGUAGAUAUAUUUUUGCAGACGAUCGUCACGCGAUGCGGUUUUCCGUUCUCAUUGCACGCAUUUCCUUACAUGGCUGACCGCAAACCAUCCACAUCUACUGUGAGUGUACUUAUGUACGUUACCUUGACGUGGAAUUCUUUUAUCGUGUACGGGGAAUGUGUUAUCACUGCUACUGCAUGUUACAAUCAUAAUUGUUAAUGAUAUUGUUGCGGUAUGUUGAAGUUACGGUAGACUCUCGUGACUAAAAAUUAUAAACAGCUCUAUUUCGUAAGGUAACUUUUCUUGUUUUACACUUAUUUAAUUACUGUGUCAAAUAUUGGCGAUUUCUUGAAGGCUCUCAGGCAGAAACAUACCGAGUCAUCGCGUGUUCGAAUAUCAGUUCGGAAUAUCUUCGAAGUCGGCCUAUUUGGCAAUGUAUCUCGCUGGCGUUCCCGAGAAGACCUCUUUUCCGUUUUCCGUUCGCGGCACAAGAGAUCGCUAGUCGUCGAGAGAAAAUGCGCUUUCCUGUCGAGUUUUUACAUUUGAAUGAAGCCAAAAGGAGAGAAGAGGAGAAAGAAGGGAUCCCGGCCGUGUUUCGAAUUCGUUGGCGCGAACUACCGUCAACGCGUUCCUUCCUUCUUUCGCCCCCUUUUUCUCCCAAUUUUCACCCCCGAGAGACCGCCGCAGUAGUCGUUGAUUUAUUUAUUUCCUCGUGUUUCGCGUUGUCGUCUCGCCUCGUUCUUCUUCUUCAUCGCCGUCUCGUUGUUGUUUCCCUUCACCCAUUUCGUUCGAUUUCCUCCGUUCCGACGUCUUUGUCGUCGUUUGACGACAUUCGAGGCUUCCUGACUUUGACGUCGCCCAGGAGCCGCCGAUUUCCGGCAAUUCACAUCGCCGGAGGACCAAGCUGAAGUGCAGUAUUCAAAGGUUUGACUUGUUCCUUCCUCGGGAACAAGUCUUCCUUCUUUUCCAGUUUGCUCGCCGUAGUAGCUUCUCUACUUCUUCUGUAUCUCCUUAUCUUUUUCUCUUCUUUUCGACGGUCGAUGGAGCGACGUCUGAAGUAACUUGUUCCAUUAUCGCCGCGCUAAGAGACUGUUAACAGAUGAAAGACAAACUACGUUGAAGGGAACAAGACGAGUGUGCUCGUUUGAUGGUCGUGGAUCUAAUUCAGUCGUCUCGAGACGGUCGCGAUUUUUCUUCGCGCAAGGAAUAUUUGCGGAUGCUUUUCGCGACGGGGCGUGCGUUACUUCUGUUCUAUUUGGAAUACUUUGCGAAGUGAACCCAUUAAUUUUCAAGUUUUUGAGAAACGAGCGCUAAUUUGAAACAACACGCGAAAUCGCACGCAUUGAUUUUCAAUCCUUCGCGAAAUUACAUUAAUUUCCAAUCCUUCGUUAAGCCUCGGUAAUUUUCAAUUCGUUUCAUACACGGAUAUACCGAGGAGAAAUGAAACUAUCGAUCAGGAGAAAUUCUGACGAGACGCAGGAAGAAUUCCUCGGCUGGUAAGCGCUCUCUUCCCUCUCGUCUAUCUCCCCUCCUCACUUUUGGGAUUGAAUUUUAACGUCGACAGAGUCGUCGAUUUCCGGAAACGAUCUUGGCAAAGAAUCGUGCCAAGCUGCAGUCUCGGAGGGAUCGAUCGUUAGCUUUGAUCUUAUUGCUUUACGUUCUCUGCUCCCUUUUGUACCCUCGUUCCGACGUUUCCUCUUCUCGGCAGCCCUGUCAGAAUUUUUACAACGAUUCAUACAAAUUGACUCCCUCUUUCUUCCGGUUAUCUUACACUUCUUUUCUUUCUGUCGAACAAAUUUUAAAUUACCAUUAAACCUUAGUUGGUAUCGUUGGACGAUACCUUCUCUCGCCACCGAUCGACCACAUCGCGCUACAAAGAAAAUAAUAGCCGUCAGGAUCGCGUUCGAAAGCGCAUUAAUCGCGGCUAAACACGACGCGUUACGUACGAUCUUUCUUGCUUCGGCCCGGUGGGGGCGAUUGGUGAUUUAAUAAGGCUAUAUUUUGUAUUGAUUCAUAAAUACAUCUUGCGUGAACGCGAGAGCGCCCGGCCACCAUUAAGCGAUUGAUCGCCGUGCAAUUUGUAAUCAAUAAAUCUGGAGAACGAUCCCAGCCAUGGCGCUGUACUUGGAUGUUCGUGAAGAAAACCGGAAUGAAAGAUUUUUCUAGGAAAAGAGCAUCAUCUGCUCGUUAUUUGCAAUGAUCGAAAUAGAAGUCUGAACAAGUUGGUGUAAUUUGAGGAAUUCAAGUUAAAUUUUACCUUCCCGUAUUGGAAUCGUUGGAUCGUUUAAUGUAAAUUAUUAUCAUUAUUUUUUCUCAUCACGUUCGACGUAUUUCAUUAUAUUCCAAAUAUCGUGCACACGAGAAUUUUGCCGAUGAAAGGUUCACGAGAUCCUGUAGACACGCACGGCAAUUUCGCAGGCUUGAUUUUACGAUGAAUACUUUAUCAGGGUGAGAUGCAACUCUAGCUCGGAGCGGAUAAUUUAUCGACGAUAAAGAAUGCAGAUGAAAAACACACAAAACUUCGUGUUGUUCGCGUAUUCUGUGUCAGAGUCACUCGACAACGGGAUCUAUCACCGUGAAACAUACUUAUUUUCUGUAAUACGCUUGUUCACACACGGCUACGCCCGUGUCUCUUGUUUGCUCGGAUAAGAUUGUGCCUUCUGGUUCGCUGAAAAUCUUGUUGAAAUGUAUUUUCUUGCAUCUCUUGUUUUUUUUUCCCCUCCCGUGCAACGAGACGUUCGCCGCGACAAAAUACAUACACGUAAUGAAAAAUUCUCUCGCUCGCAUUUUAUUUUUACCGAGAUUCGUUUGUGCAAGAACGACGUUGUUAACGAUGUUGCUUCACUGGAUGACGUAUUUUAAGUUGAAAACGAACGUAUCUUGAGAAACAUGCUCAGCUGCAGAUGUGGAACACGUCAAGCGCUGUAGAAUACUAAAAAUUCUCAAUGUUAAAAUCAUUUCUAAAACCGUGUACGGUGUAUCGAUGGCAUAAAUUUGGUACUCGUUAUCAGAUAAUACAAGCGGUCGAAACCAGGAACAUUAAUCGAGGGCAUAUAAUUAAACGUUCGUGUAAUCGUGCUCCGUAAUGGCACGGUUUCGUAUCAAUUCAGAUCUUCAUCGAGUAUCGGCGCAUGUGGUUAUUAAUAAAAUGUUUCAAUCUAAUCGAUAAUCCGUGGAUGGGAUGCGAGUAGCGCAAAGAGACCGUUGGAAAUCGUCGUUUCACGAGUGAACACGUCGAAGGUAUAGCUCGCUUUUCAUAGAUCGUACGGUAGAUUUUAAUAUCAGCCGAGCGUUGCACGAAGAAAUCCCAUGGAAUCGAUGAAAAAUCGUCUCGGUUAUGGCAGACGGUUCCAUACGUAGAGUCACGUGAACAACGGACACGAAGAGAGAAGACAGUGUUUGAGCGUUGUGCGCCAGUAACACAGCGUUCGCGUGUAGAAACCUAUAAGGACGCGCGUGUACGCCGAGUAAACACACAUCACUUCGGGGUCGACGUUCAGGGAUCGUGCACGGAACGAGUCGUGAGCAGCCUAGAGCCGACACGACGCUGGAAUUUCUCGACAAAUAGGCGAAUAUGCACAUAAAUACAUAACAAAGGCCCGUGACGGGUACCUCGAAUCGCAUAAGGACGCCGACGGACGAAAAGGAGACGACAACUAGGACGACGACAACGAAAGGGAAGAAGAAUAAAUGGUGGCGGAGGUGGAGAAGAAAGAGAGAACGGAACGGAAACCGGCCGUGAUUCCUCGAGAACGAAUGUCACGCGUGCUGUCAACCGCUUACACCAACUCGAUAUAACUCACUUUAUUACCAGGUACGUUGCCUGGAAAAUGAAUUAUUGAAAACGUGCCUCGAGACGCCGCGUUGGCGAGCAGAGAGCGUGCGUCUACGUAAGCCACUCGGCCGGCCAUUAGUAGCACGUUAAGCAGUUUGAUCGCUGGAUAUAGCCGCCCCGUGUACCGCCUAUGGCUUGGAAAUUAAGAGCGACAGGGCCUCGAUCGAAAUUAAUCCGUAAUCGUUGAAAGCAAGCCGGACAUGAAAUAUGCCAAGCCUUUCGCGGCGCGUUACACGAUAAUAGCGCCGCGAAUAAUCUCACCGCCAAUUAAUUAAGCUGGUCGUCGAAAUUCUAUUUCAUGAUAAAGAUCACCUUAAAGUGGUAAAUAAUUUUUAGUAGCAAAAGAGGUAAUUGUUGGUCGGUUACGAAAGAAAUUCCCAAACUUGACCCAUUUUUAGACGUCUCAGUGCGGUGUAAGGGUAAGAGAGAUAGAGAGGCUCAUUAUCGAUUGUUCUAGGUUACAAUCGGGGAACGUUGUUGAAGCCGCAGCCAAGAUCGAGGAGAAUGUCGUGGAUUCAGCGCGGUAUGACGAUCACGCCUGUAAUCAAUUGUACGCAUAGUCGCGGCCAUCGGUUUGCCCUAGCAUUUCGCAAUAUUCGCGUCUAUCCCAGUGGAUUCGUGUGUAUCCGCUCGUACAUGUGUCCUUGCUCAACUGUGUAUGCGCAGCAUGCGAAAAAUUAAUUCCGUACAUGAUUUGCAUAUACACCCUGUUAAGCAAUACCCUGCACCUAACGAACGCGACCGAGCGAGCCUUUACGAUGCGCGACUAGAUUAAAAAGCAAAUAUAAUUUUUCGCUGUUUAUAAGGGACCGCCCUUUAUUCGCUAGUUUACUAGCCGUUGCUUAUGCGAUCAACCUGUUUAAAAUAACCCCUGUAUUUAAAUAAUUAUUUCGAAUAUCUUGGAAGAAUAUUUUACGAUACUCGCAAUGAGCUUUUAACUAGCAAGAGCAAUAUUUGUCUCUAGCCGGAUGGGAGUAUGAAACCGCGAUUCACCGGACGUAUUACGCACGAUUAUGAUUAUUUUCUUGAAUGUAUAGCUGGCAGUGGCCGGGCCAUGUUAUUAAUACAGAGGAAAGCAUGGACACCCUGCUGUGGUCCUCACGAUACACCAUGGGCAAGGCCCUGACCUCGGGGCCUCACCAUCGCCAGGGUCUACCAGGCAAUGGUUCAUGGGUUCCUACAUGCGGCAUCACAUACGGUGAGAGCCGCACGAUUGUUUCUCAUUCUUCCUUUUCUAUUCGAUUUCGUGGACUGCCUUUGCUAUCAAAGCAAAACAUCAGGGUCUUUUUUUUUUCCCAAACGAAAUAUGAAUUUCAUAGAAUUUACUUCGGGGGUCAGCACCGUGCGAUUCUUCAAAUCGAAUCUAUAGGCAAUUAGAAGAAAUGGUAAAUUACAUAUUAUCUAUUAUUCGAAGCGUAACAUUGAAAACCCCCCGUUGUUAUGGUUACGGUUGAAAAAUCUUUGUUUGCACGAGGCUCGUACGUUUCGCGAUACUAAGUGUUUGCAGGAGUAAUUCUCGUUUUAAAGAGGCGACCGGAUGUUUGUUAUUUACCGGGCGGUCAGGUGCGAAUGUAGAUAAUCGUAAAUCGUGAGGGGAGCAGGGAGACACCGUUGUCUUAUCGACGUUGGAAGGAGUCGUUCCAGGUCGAAAGAACGAAGGACACGCGUAAGAGGAAGGGUUGCUAGGGGUAUGAUGAAAAUGAUAUAAGUUUACAUAGAGGUAGGUAUGUUAAUGUACAGCAUAAAUAAGGAGAGGGCAUUUGGUGCCUAAUAGGACGCUAAUUGUGAUUAUAUACAACACAGCCAGCUCGGAUGCAGCCUGAAUUUUAUAUACCUAUAUAACAUUUAUUGCCAGCCGUCCGGACCGGUCGAGCACGGACCAGCAAAAAUCCGCAACGCUUGGGAAUUUAUAGUAAUGAAAGGAUGGAGAUUUAUCGGGCGUUAUUGCUUUACAAAUGAUCCGAUAUCCUGGCCCGCUCUGCUGGUACUCAUAAUGGUUAAUUCGUGCAAGCAGGAUCUUUCGAAGCUUCGCCAUUACACGGAUCGAGGAUACGCGAGGAGAACGAGCUUUCUUCCAUUCUCGAGCGCGCGUUUAUUAAUCGCGAACCGGUAUAUAUAUGUAGUAUAUAUUUCUUUUUCUUCCUCUUGGUCGUUCGAAUUAAUCUCGACGAGCCACCAUUCCGUUGACGGGGAGAAUCAGUAACAUACGGAGAGAAUGAUUACUGAAUACCCUUUUCGAAGUUGUUGAACUUGUAACUUCUGUAUACGCGAUGAUGGUUCGCUAUUUGCUUUCGGAGAACAUUCGUACCUGGACGUUGAUGAAACUUUCUUCCUCUGUAAUUUGUAAUCUGACGAUGCUCGAUCUACUUGCUACUUCGGUUGAUGAAUUGAUUUAGAUGUCGGAUGGUGACGUAUUCGAUCCCAUUAGCAAUCAUUAGAUCCCGACCUGACCCAACUUCUCGGGUACAUGCACAUCCCUAGAUUUCUGAAGUACGUACUAACGCGUAUUCUAUUUAUCUUCCAAAAAUGUAAGGUGUAUUUUAAACAAGAUCGAAGGUAUUUGGCGUUCGCCGAACGAGUGGACACGAAUAAAUUGAAAUACGAUUGGCGCGAAUGCUGGUGGGAUAGGGAGAGAAGAAAGGGAGAAAGGUGUACGACCAAAUAACUCUCGGUGGGAUAGAAAAAGGAGCGACGGGAACCGGAGUCGGCAGUUUAUGCAGCCAUUACCACAGGUGAACGCCGCAAGCAAUACGUUGGGUUACGCUGAUUUAAAAGCACUCUUAGAUUCGGUCUACUCUCCUACCUUUCUUCUACUACGGUUACAAAAGAUCUCUCUGUAUUCUUCGCUGUUUCUUUUUCCCUUUGUUCUAUAUUGUUGAAAUGAAUCUUGUUCUUAGAACACAUAUCAACACUUGAUAUAUAUAUAAACAAUGUGCCUUUGACUAUAUUUUUUUGUGAUCGCUAUGAGCAUUUCGUAGCUAAAUCCGACAGCAACGUUUCAUUAAGAAACAGGGGAGGAAAAUGACAGAGGUACUCAAUUAUCCGUACAAUUUCCAUGGUUCCCUGGAGGUUACACGGACGAUGCAAUUUUUCUGAAAUUUUUAAGGUAAUCUGGAAAUUAGUCGAAAUAAAUUGUCCAGACUUUUCCUUUGUUUUUCGUCCACGCUCGCGAAGCAUUCGUUUUCACCGGGCGAUAUUUUCCACGAAGUAACGUUGAUUUUUCGAACUCUCCGCUCUGAUAAAUUCGCCAAGCUAGUGGCGUACCAUUGCGCAGAUAAGCUUUAUUACGUUUUUAAGGUGAAUGCACCGUGCACAGGGAAGAAUAUCAAUUUUUUCUUUCGAUGCCGGUUUAAAAGGUCAACCAACCACUCGCAUCGGCUCGCGCUAUUUGUAUUCGUGCCCGUUGCACUUGCAUACAACACAAGGGAACAUAUUGGAUCGACGGCCAGGCUGAUGUCGUCCAAUACUUGUUCUUUAUUGGAUGUAAGUGCAGCCAGCGUAAAUAAUCUUUUGUGCUCAUUUUAUUACUGCAUCCGCCGGCGUAUUUUUAUGCCCUGUUAUCUGGACCCAUGGUUUCUAGCGAUACGAAAGCGAAUAGGUUCCGUGCACCACGCUGAUAUCGUUGAUGCACGGUUAUGGAUUUAGGUUCGUCAACAAAAAAAAAAAAAAAAAAAGGCAAAUUCGAUGGCCGCUGGUUGGAAAUGUAGGUACACAUAGGAGAGAAAAAACGAAUCAAAGGUUUUUAUUGUACGAUGUUACGCGUGUCGAAUAAAAUUACACAGUUGUUUAGUUACUCGUAUUAAAUCAUCGAUGUUGUUACAAUUAUUUCAUCGAAAAUAUUGAGUACAGUUCGUUUAUGAAUUUUCAAAAUCAAUUUAACUCACCUGUUAUCGCUGUUGAACGGAAUCACAAAUCUAGUACGAUUAAAUAAAACAGGAAAUUUUAAAUGACCUUACUAUAUAACCGCGAUGGUCAAACUUUUAAGAAUAUUUAAUACCCUCUGUACCUAUAUUUUUCUGCCAACUUCGCCAAACAACCGGUACAAUUCGCUGUAUUUCGCGAGGAAAAAUGUUGCUCAGGUUGACGCGUAUAAUUAAACGUUCGCGUUAGUCUCUACGGUAGAUUUCCGUCAUUAUUCGUCCCGUGUAAUUAUACACUUUCCGCCAUCGUUCACAUAAACGGUCGAUUCUUUUUCUUCCGGGUAUGUCCCGGUCGUAUGCUGAUUUCCCCAGGAUACCAUUGUUCGGUUAAACGUGACGCUCCGACUCGCAACCGAAUUUAUGAACCUCUCGAACUUUUCAUCCGCGAUGUUCAGAAAAAAGAGAGACGACGGGAGAAAGAGAGGCGCCAUUCAAAGGACCGUUGAAUUAAAUUCCCCUUCCCGUAUAGAAAUACUCUAUUACCGGCGGAAAACGAUGGCACGGAAUUUCAUAUGACCCGUUCGCUUGACUGACUACCAAUAUCGGUACGUCUUCGACGUAUGGAUAAAACGCGAGGAAAACGAGAUAAGGGGGAUAAGCGUAAAACCGGGCGGGGGUAGAUACGACGUCUCCGUCGUAACGCAACGGGAUGAAACAAAAUAAGUGGAAGGAAGAGCGAUGGAAAGAAAAAAAGAAAAGGGAACGGUGACAAAGUAACCAGUUCCGACGAUAUUACUGGAAUUUUCAUAUUAAAUAUUUUUUAUUGAAAUGAAAGGAGAAAAGGAUUAUCGUAAAUAUCAUUGGCUAGAAGGAAGGGGAAUUUCUUAUCGCGGAUACAUUUACUUUUCCUGCGUAAGAACUACUUUGAUGCACUUAAUUAAGUCGUGACAUUUUGGUCUGGCAUUUUAGCAAAGGUCGCAAAGAAUUUUAAAUGAUAUCGGAACGGUUGUAGGUCGGAAAGAAACUUACGAAUAGAAAUUUUUCAUUUAGUUAACGUUACGAUCAACCUUCGCUGUUCUGGUCUAAGUAACUUAUAAACUGUUAGCGUUCUCCAGACAUUUUCAGCAGUGGCGCAAAUAAGUCGGGGAGCAGGGAAAAAUAGAGUCAUAUUUUUGGGGGCAGCUGUGUCUGCACCAUCUCCGCAGAGAUUCUAAUAAGAGCCGCAUAAAACUCAGAAAUUAAUGUCUUCUACCUAUCUCUUUCUCUUUUCCUCCAACACACUGUUUGUAACGUUUCAUCGUGCCACAGGGCACGCAGAAGUUCUUGCCACCUUUUUCACGCCGUACCCUUUUUUCUUUACCCUUUCGCACGAGAAACCGCCUGCGCUGACGUAAUCGGACCCUCGUUGAUCUAUAACGAAGGAAUAUCACGCUUUAACUGCCUUCUCAUAGUAUUAAAUUUGUUCCAGAUGAAUCGCGAUUUUUUCGCUUUCGCGAUACUUAAGGGUCUGACAGAUUGCUCUAUAAGAUUAUUCCUGGAGAAAUAUUAUCACGAACCCUAUUAUUAUUAAUCUGUAUAUUAAUGCGAUAAUGUAAAUUCCUUGGAUAGAGAUUUAUCGCAGCAUUGAGAAACUAUUGAGCAAACUUAUUUGCAUAAAUUUUUAUAGAGCAAGCAACGAUCGAUCAAUGAAAUUAAUUUUCAUAUCCGUGAUAAAUCUAAUUACAAAAACCUUGUGUUAUAUCUACAUAAGAUUAAGUGGACACGUGACAAUGUAGAUAACACGGUAGCUCGCGAUAUAAGUUUAGGAAAAAUAGUUGAAAACAGAGAACCGUAGGUUCCUCUGUACAAAGAAUAAUGUCGUUUUAAAGGAAUUCGUCGACACGACAGCUCGUGCUGUACAUUCGUACACUUUCCUUCAAUUUUUUGUCCGAUUUACAUUCGCAGUCUUUCAUGUUUCAUACAUAUUCAACGGGCACACACGGCUGCGGGUAUAAAAUCUAUUUCAGAAAUCGUUACACACCGUUCACAUUGCAUUUUCGCGUAUAAUUACAUAAGCCAGCUGCCAUAAUGAUAAAGGAGAUUGCAUUAUCGCUGGACUCCAGGCCAACAUUUCCAUCGAUCAAAUUCCUUCCGGCCCGUAAGCGAGGUUAUUUAACGGGAAAAUGUAAUAAAUUGUAGAAGCUGUCUCCCUUCCUCCUCUUUUGCCUCGUAACGACACUCGGGCAUCCAGUAAAGCGUUCGUUCGCGAUGCUUUCUCGCGGAAACCAGAAGAAUCAAGCGAAGAGCGAAAAAAAAAAAGGGAGGGUGGAUGACAUAUUUUUCCGGUCGGAUGGGAAAUCGGAAAACUAAUUUAUGCGAUCGACGAAGCCGGGCUUCUCGUGCCGCAUAAUGCUUGCUGCUCGAGUAUAAACAGUCUCCUGCUGCCGUGAAGUAUGAUUUAACUAUUGCUGUCAACGUGUCAUGCAUCGUUUGUCACGUUGAUUAAUUUACCUUUGCUCCGAUAUACCUUUCAUUGAUUUUCUUGCUCGCUUUCUACCCGAUAUACUUUCGAUAAUUAAUCAUUUCCUCUCCUACGGGUGACUAUUGUCGGCUACCUUCUGAUUCGACGGUUAAAUCUCUUCGAGGAAAACAGUUUCGUAGGAUGUUUCGAGGAAGCGGAUGAAUAUUUUCUAGCAACGUAAUUGAAUUUCGGUCUCGAUUACGUUGGCCGACUUCCCGCCAACGAAUGGUAGGUGGAACGAUUAGCAUUAACAGAAAGCCGGGAAAGUUUUCAUCGUUGUUAGUCGUUAGUUGGCGACAGUUGGGGAACAACGAUGCCAUCGUAUCGUGGAAUCGAAGAUAGCGGAGAUGGGUCAGCAGCCAGUCUAACUCCGCAUACAAAGGGACACCGCGUCCAGGUCGAAGUUACCAAACAACAGAGAAUAUUCUGUGCUUAGCAUCGAGCGAAGUGAAACAAACUUAUAAUUAGUUAUGGGAGCUUGUACCGAGAUUGAUGCUUGCAUUCGCAGCUGCGAGUUGCGCGAACCACGUAAUAUUCCGUACUUGCCAAGUUUACUGCAGAAAUUCUUGCAUCCCUUGCCCUUCGUGGAGGAUCCUCGAUGAUUUCGCAAAAAAAAUCAAUCUCUUCAUCUUCCUGUAUGAUUUCGAAUAAAUAACAAUUUGGUAGUAUUUUUGAAAGGGGUUGAAAGAUACUCGCGUAGAAUCCAGGAGGGUGUGUGUAAGUCAAGUCGAUAGGGUGAAGGGAAAGGGAUACUCACGGAGGUCCAUAAAAAAGCAUACGAGCGGGAUCGUAUGCAUUUUUAAGGGCACUAACCCUGUCGAUGGUUCUUACCGAGACUUACCGCUGAGACUUGGCUUUUUAUAGGCAGUCCCUUGCAUCCUGGAAAGGGCGCAUGAUUCGACAAGAGUUAGGUCAGUGGGUCGUGUUACAAGGGAAUCCGUAGAGAUCAGGGAACGUGGCUUCGACAUUUGCGAAUAACCUGGCGCGAUCAAUUGAUCGCCUCGUUCCAUUGUUAUAUCCUUUUUUUUUUAUUGGAAUAUAAAACAGAAAUAAUUCAAUGUUUUUACGUGCGGCCACCAAGCGGAGUUGUUCGCGUGACGCGAGCUCGAAGCGUUUUUGCGAAUCACCUCAUCGAAUAUUCGCUAUGAAUUUAUGAUCCCGGCGAUUAAAUUUGCUUCUUUAAUACGUCCUGCCUAUUCAUUCGCAAUAUUCCUCUAUAACUGGCAGUACGCAAAAGGUACAGUGUAGCGCAAAAAUAUUAUCGCGAGUGUACAUUCGCGUUCAACGGGUGCUUUAAUGAACAUUAAAAUUCGACGAGCAAACAUCGUCAUAUAAUUGCAUCCUGUUGCUUAGCUAAUGAAAGCAGAAAUCAUGAUGUCUUGCUAAUUAGAUUGAUCGGUUCGAUAACUUUAUCGAUUUGGAUUUUGCAUAACAACGAUAGAGGGAGAUAGAGAAAAUCUUUCUUCAUUCUCUGCAAGUUGAACAGAGAUUACUUUGAUAACCACUUUGGUGAUUGCUCGGGUAUUCAACGCGGAGCCAGCGAAUUAUUAAUUAAAAGAGCUUCCGGUACAAGUUACCCGGGAUCCUUUAAGUAAUUUCGUAAUUCGACCGUGGCGCAAAACGAGGAGGGAGUUAGAUGGUUUUAAUAUCGUAGCCGAAUAGAAAUUUCGCUGUUUCCAACUCGGCUACCUGUGACGACCACGCGUUAUCUGAUCAACGCGACGAGGAUUUUCUUUUUAAUAAUCAUCAGAUAAAAACUGGCGUGAUUCUUUCGAUCGCCCUCUUCUACUAGGAAAAUCGAUGACUAAUUAUCAAACUAAGAAGAUUAACGAUUAAAUCCAGCGCGAUACGAUGGAACUUCAUUAAUUACGUUCACGUGCUCGUUAAUUCUGAACGUCGAUCUCGUCGAAAACGUAGCCUAGAUUCAACGUUUCUAAUUUCGUGUCCAAUUAACGCGUUGCUUUCAUCAGAACCGUAUCUUAUAAAAUGAAAACGAGCCAUACAAUUUUCCACUUAACGUAAAAAUAGAGGAAGAAAAAAACUGUAGACCGACCUUGACAAUUUCUAACACGAGCAACCGUUCCAUUUGUCGAGCUUUCCCUGUUUCUUUUUUCCUCAUUCGAAUCGCGGUAGGCGAACGAGCUGUUAGGAGGUCAUGGCCCCUUGACCUAAUUAGGCAUUUUCCCUGAGGGUGUAGCACGGUUCAAGGAUAUUGCGCGGAUGUGUGCCCCGAGCUUUUCUUUACUUCGACGACAAGAUUCGUGGUGCUGGCUAAAUAUAACGUUUUAUUGCCUGGUGACGGUGGUGAUCUUGUUGCAUGGUGGCAGAUUGUUGCUUUCUGGAUGAACGAACGGUUAUGCAAACGUACAUGAUUGCUGUCUACGUCUACAGUAGAUAAAUACGAACGAGUUACGCUUUCCUCAGGUAUCCAUCUCGACGGUGUUUCAUUUCGAUAGACAAUAUAACGGCUGCGGUUUGCCCGGUUUGUCUACGCCAUUAAUACGCGCAACUUCGCCUCGGUUCACGCUGCUAUCCUUCAAGGAUCGGUUAUUUGCGAUGUCGAAACGAAAUACAAAUGCGUCUCGAGUAUAAUUCGCUUAAGGAAACCGAUGCAGUUGGCUUGCAUCUGAUACUCGAGCGAAUCGAGCGAUAUUUUCCCUAGGAAAGCACUACUUUGCUCGAUACUGUACAUGUACCGUAAGGGAUUUUGAACUUGUUAAUUUUGACUAUGUAAUCGGGCUCGUAAAUUGUUAUUCACACUACUCGGUUCGAAUCGAUGGUGGAGCGUGUCAUAAUUACGAUUCGGCACGAGCUCCAUUAGCUGUGUAUUAUUUUUGCAGAACGAAACGAUGGAUGGAGCGGACGCGGUGAUGGCGUUAACGGAACGAGCUAGCACGGGCUUUACGUAGUAAUUUAACGAUUUAAAUAACGUUGCCCUGUGCCGAGAGGCCGACGAGUCUGAAUUAAAAUUUAUCGUUCGUUCCCCGAGUCGCGGCGUUAUAAAUCUGAGCUUGAUCUGCUCUUAAGCUGUCGAAUCGUUUGAUGAAUCACACGGCGAUCCAGCCGUUCCGUUUAAAUAACGUUCGAAUCAAGACUGUGUCCCUCGUUCCUUUCAUCUUCUUUCUUUUUCCUAUUUUCUAUUUUCUUUACCAUCUGUCUCACUUUUUAUAGAUCUGUAGCACCGUUGUUCGACAUCAAUUGAUUCGCGAUUUACAAACGAGGCGGAUAGAAAUAAACGUCGGAAAUAUGAAACCAUUUUCUUUCAUUUCAAGAAAAUUGAUUUUAUGUGAAAGUCUAGGUGGCACCUUUUUCAUCGCCAAUUACCGAUAAUCUAAUUAGCUUUGGUAAUCGCUAAAUUUGAUCGCACAAAGAUUACAUUUCAGCUUGCAAAACGAUAUAUUAACGGGGGUUCAUUGCAGUAAAUCCACGACGAUAACUCGACUUAACCUUAACGGCUGUUCCCGCGAAGUGGCAUCGUUCUUCCUGUCCUUUCGAUGCUCGUUUACGACCUCACCGCCAUUUUAUUCGUUGGAAAACACUCGGGACCGAUAAAAAAGCCGUCGUAAAUCGAUGAUCACUAAUUUUCUUAGACGAUAUAUUAAGCCGAAUAAAAGAAAUUUCUACGAACGUUCGACGUUCCAUUACGAACUUCCGUUUCUUACACCUUGAUUUCCAUCGUUCUUUUUAUCGAUGUCGUUCGUUCCUCUUUAACUUCCUUUCAUUUUGCUUCAGCGUACGACCAUUGUCGUUACUGAGCUGGCUCGUUACAGCUCUCAUCAAACGGAAGGUUCGAGUAGCAUAAUAUCGUAUUAAUUACACAUCGAAUAGCUUGAAUUAAUUAAAAUCUAUCGUCUCUUCAAUCGUUGGGAAUUAUAGUUCCCAGAUUUCUUUUCCCUCUGUUAGCGUCUUUCAAACAGUAAUUCGUUUAAUUUUGGUCGAUGGAAAUAAAACGCGUGUAUGUUAAUUAAAUAAUACUAAAUUACUUCUGUCUCAGUCAAUAGUAGGGAUCGUGUAUUUUUGACGGGAAAGAAAUUAUCCAGAUAGAUAUAUUUAAUUUCAUAAUCUUCGAAGAUAAUGUUUAUUUUCAUGUCUAGAAUACAAUAUACACGAAUGUCUUCUAAUCGCAAAAAGGAAGCAGUUUAAAUCUGGAGGCGUGGGCGGGUGACAGGGUAUCACCGGUGUCAAACAAUCAGCUGGUUUCGUGUACCAGGUCGAAGCGUGGGUUAUCUCUAUCCUUCGGUGUGUCUCUGGCCGAAUCUUUAUCCUACGGAUCAUCCUCGAUCCCGUGGUUUUAGUACGCUGUAAAAGCUUCGCUUCCAUGACAUGCUUUAUAUCAGCGUCGCAAUCGUAUUUCAAACGCGGGGAUAGGACUGCCAUUCCCGUUGGCUGCUCGACGAUGCAGCUCCUUGCGAUUCUUCUCGUUUUUUUCACUCUCUGCUGAUCCAGGUAAGAAUACAACCAUGAUCGGUGAAUACCCCGCAGCUGGUACUGAAAUAUAUCAAAACGUUUAGUAGCGCGUGAAAUACAAAGUUUAUGAGAAACAUUCGAGGUUGAGUUAGAAAAUUUAAUUGUUUUUAAUAGAAAAUUGCUGCGAAUGUAAUUUUACGUUUUCAAAAUUUUCAAUAUUCUAGCUUCGCUAAGGAUACUAAGGGAAUAGUAUUGCAUGAGUAAUUUUCGCGUUAUCUCCGUUGUAAAACCUGGAAUUCCACGCAUGACUAAUGUGUUACGAACCUUUCGGAGGAAAGAGCAUCGACGCGUGCAGCAGCCACGUAAUGCAAUCAUAAAUUCUUCAGCAGUUCAGUAACGUGUAUCCCACGUUCUAUUACUAAUGUGCACACUGAGAGAAGAUUGGAAGCCGAGAUUCCACGAAGGGAAAACUGGCCUUAAAACGAUCAUCCGAAAUUCAUGAAUAUCUCUAUUCAUUUUGAGAGAUACUAUGUAACAUGAUGUAUGUUUAUUCGGGAAGUACAUCUACUGCGUUCCUUUGAAAUGGGAUUAAUAUUGUUUUAAGUUGUGUACUGUUUCUUCGCACACCGGUGAAGUGUGCCAGCUAAGGGUUAAUAAGAAAUUAAGAAUCUUUUUUUUAAUAACAUAAUCCCCUCGAUUAUAAUCAGGCAACAAGGUCUGUGCUUUUGUCUCUGAUUCACAGCUACCGAGGUUUCGGUGACUGCUUAAAAAGCAAUUUACCACCGUGAAAUCCAACACUGACUUAACUCGGACCCUUUUUAUGUCCGUUUCGUGGGUUUGUGAACGUUUGAUGCUCGAGACGUGUCGUGCAGUUCCCAUUCACGAACAGUGAAUUUCUUGUCUUCCUCCCUCUCGUUCAGUCGUUUCUCUAUACAAGAAUCGGUCGUCCACGUCGCGUUUCAGGUUCAUAAUUCCUGAAAAGUUCAUAACUUCCGAGAACUCAACGAAGGAAGGCGGUAAACGCCAGGGUGCAAACUUGGCGCCAUUAAUAUAGGGUCGACGCUCGUUUAUACGCGGCAGCGACGUAUUAGUUCCCGCAUAGAGAUAAUAACGCGAACCAUGUCAGCCACGCGAUAAAAUGUCCGCCACAGUGUCAUAUUUUCGGCCGUGUCUCGCGAAUUUCAACCAUGUGCCACCGCGUGAAACAGAUACGACACCACGCGUGUGUUUUAUCUGUUUCCUGACGCCUCUGAUUACUUUUUUCAUCGAACCUUGAGAUUCUUUAUUAAUAUAUAAUUAUUGUAUGAUUAAUUAUCAGAGGUUGAUGAAUUAACAAAACCGUAAGAAUUGUUUUUACUAAUUUAAAAGCAUUUGAUUCUAUUCGUAAGUAAAUACACGUCUUGCAUCUUUUUGCCACGUAGACGGCUGUCGUCGUGAAAGUCCUCCAAUACCACUGAAAUCCUCCCCGGGCGACGUAAAAUCGGCGUCGCCGUAAAUCCGAUCAACCGGACGCAGGUGAUCGCUAACUUAUUUUACGAUUGCCAUAAUAAAAGCGUCGGGAGACCGUCAGAGAUGCUUGCUGAACGGUAGGCGUUCCGACGUUUCGAAUCGCUUGUCUUUGCUUCGAUGCUUCUUUUAUCGUUUUGCUCGAUGUUCGUCGAUACUCGCGCGUAGGAUUAUACAAGUAAACGCGAGAGGAUAUACGAUGACAAUCUUGACGGAUGGGCGUAGGAUUUUUUUUUUUCUGAAACGGCGAGUCAGAUAAUAUUUAACAGAUAAAAUCACAGAUAAUAUUAAUAUUACAGUAGUCUCUCGUUAUAUUGCCGCGGUGAGGGUAAACAUUUUUUAAGCUUCCAAACUUUAAUUAACUAAUCAUUUACAAUUUUUACAUUUUCGUAAAUAUCAGGUACCCGCACAUCCCUACUGCACGCAAUUCUUCACCCUUUGCUUACGAAAAUCGAACGUUAACUCGAGUACCGCAGCUUCUCGAUUUUCCCGAUUGCUAGGGGCAUUGAUUUAUCGUGGCAAUCUUGGUAAAGCGAAACGUGGUUUCCAGUGCUCGCGAAGUAAACCGGCAUUUCGCAGUCGCGAGAUCAGUAACGAAGAAUAAUUGAAACGGCAGUAGGUGCGACCGAAGCAUUGGAAGCACAGAGAGCGUGUCUCUCUGCGAAAUCCCUGACGGUAUAUUUCGCUUCCUAACGAUUUUUCGAUAUCUCUAAGCGUUUUUAUUCGUCCGAACGAUGCAGCGAGGAUAACGCAUAGAUAUCCAGUGAAUUUUAUUUCUCUCGAACGAUACUAUCCGCCGAACAGAAAUUUAUGAAAACAUUUAUGAAGUCGUUGUCUGAGUCGAGCGAACGGUAAGCGAAGCAUGAAAACAAAACAAAACAAAACAAGGCGAGAUAUAUUCGUGACAACAACACGGCUUAACGUCCUAAUCCUUCGAUACGAAAGGACGGCUCUUCAGUUGCCUCGCACAAGGCCAACCGUGAACAUGUGUUUCGUUGACGAGAUUGUUUUCGUCGGCUAUUCGUUUCACGACGCGAUCCGUUCGUUUUCUGCCUGUGUCUCGUUGUUUGUUUCAACGCGUUUGUUAUCGCGGGUGGUUCUCGUCGAGUUUUGUUUCUCGAACCGUUACGACGACGUGCGUCGCGUAAAACUUGAUCGUUCGCCGCCGUGGAAUACGCUUCUCUCUUUUACGCGAGGAUAAAGUGUCCUGGUUUAUUCCUGUUGACCGGUCAGCGGCAUCCAUCUUGUUUUGUUCGGCGGCGAGAAGAUUCGCAAGUGAAGCCUGUUUUUGCCCGAUUUGAUAUGGAACGACCCAACGAUCGAUAGGUCGGAUCGACUGACGGCAGCCGUCUCGAUUCUCUGAGGAAACGGAUUUCAGGGGGAUGAGAAGGGUGGGACGAAAUUCGAAAUCUCCUCGGGCAGAUUGCCUCGGAGCGCAAAGUUCUCUUUAACUCCUUGCCGCACAAAGAACUGCGUUUGCCCGACGAAAGUGUCGCGAUGAAAAGUCGCGAAAAUGUCUAGAAUCAACGUGUUGCAGGGCAAUCGACCAGCUCCCGAUUCCUCGAGGCGUUUCAACAGGCUCGGACUAAUUCCGUCACGGUCAAUGGCUGCCAGUGUCGUAUCACCGUGGUUCGCGAGACUGGCCCUGACGGUGACAUGUGGCCAGGAGAAAAACAGAAAAUUUCUCUACUCAUCCGUGUGCAAAGAGAGAGAGGAAGAGAGGACGCCGAUCACUCAGAAAGCCGAAUGAAAUUGGCAUUUCAAUUGGACAAGACAAAAAUUGCAGUACGAUCGCCCCGACGGGGCGACGUACGGCAGUUAAAUCGCAGUAUCGUACCGACGCGUCAGUCGACGACAACAUCGAUCGUUUUCGACGUGAAGUCACGACGGAUUGUCGGCCAAUUUCGCGGAGACGCGUAUGUAUUACUGAUAGACCGCUGACAGUCGAUCCUCACCGAUUCUAAUUCGUUCUGCUUGUUUUCAAGAAGUCAUAACCGAAUGUUUAUGGUCCAAUUCAGGGUAUGGUUAAUGAAUACAGCUGUUAAUUAAAAAGGUAAGAAAUAUAACUUUAUUUAUCUUUUGUAUAAUACAUGGUCUCUGUGCGAAUUCGGUUGUGGUUUGUUGAUCGAAGUUACAAAGAAAUCUUAGUGUCUCUUCGUUUCGUCGUGGAGUAAGUCUAAAACGUGAUCCGUGCACAAAGAGCGUCACGGCACGCCUGUGUGCCCGAGCCUCAUUUAAAUAACAGAUAAUUGCCAGUCCUGUUAAUUGAAGCGCCGCGGGGAUCGUCGGAAGGGAGAGGCUAGAGAAGAGUUAGCCAAGAUUUUGCAGCGGUACACCACCCUCUCGUUUCCGUCUUCCGUUCCUUUCUCUCUCUCUCUCUCUCGUUACCUGUGUCUCCUUUCCUAUCCGAGAGUUAACGCGAGACCCGAUUUCCCGUCUGCCGAGCUACUGCAACAAAUAAAUCGCUUUUGUCAUUUGCACGCCACCCUCCACCCCCUUGUAUUUCACCCCUUUUCAGCCAGCCAACUGUUAGCGACGGUUACAGACUCGUCGAUGGAACGGUAAAAAGUUGAGCAGUUUCGCAGCAAAUCACGGCGGAGAGUUAAUCUGGCUAAUGGCAAUGUUCGUUGCGCAGAAAUUCGUAACGUAUCGUUAUCUUAGAAUUCCUUGCCCUUCGCUCCGGUUCCCUCCCGUUCCCUUGUUUCCUAUCCGGUCCUGCGUCGAAGGACAAAACAGGGGAGGAUCUCGUUUAAAUAACGGAUAAUUGGAAGUCUCCUUAAUUGAAGCUGUGCGCGGCGGAACAGUUAGCCGCGUUCCUCGUGACACGCCUUGCACCCGUUUCCUCCUUUAACCAGACGAAUCCCGUUGUUAACGUCAACCACAAAUCUGUGCGAGAAAGCCCGGCUAAGAAGAUGGAACAUUGUUUGGCGAAAGAAUUUCGAGAGCACCAGGUUCACUCUUUUGUAAGUUGAAAAGAAUUGUUGGUAGUUCGAUCUUUGUGUCUGAUUUUACGUUCUGCUUUAUCCCUUAAUUGUGAUUGUAUUAGAUCGUCAUUUGUUAAUCAAAAGGUACUAUAAAAAUUUAUGGAUUUUAUAAAUUUAGGAAUGAACAAUACCUGAAUUUCAUUUCGAAAAUAUUCAUCCAUGGUAGGGGCAAAAUUCUGAUAGGUAAUAGAACCAACGGAAAAGGAAACAACAGUGUAAGGAAAGUAGUGCAUGGAGCAGGUUAUCCUUUCCAGUUUCUGACGGCGCCAGCGUUUCCAUCGUUUUCCUCUCGGCGUCGUCGACGUCGAUGUCCUUAUACCCUUUUUCCUCGGCCAGCAUCGUCAACCGAACAAAUCAACCCCCUACCGUCGUCUUGAAGCAGAAGAGGGUUGACAGCAUAAACCUGGCUCCGGGAAGCACGACUCCGACAGCAGUUCCCGAACGCAUGAAUUUUUAAUAAAAUCACCCACGGAAGACGUCACCCCUUACAGGAGAUACCUUUUCGAUGCGGCUUCAAACCGCCCCCGCUUCUCUUAACCGAGACUAACCUGUCUUUCCCUUUUUGUCUAGCCGUCUCGUUCCUAUAACAUAUCUGCGAAAACUUCUUCAACCGUGUGCGACUUCCGUUUUCUUUCGAUUUAAUAGUCAGGAUCCUCGACACGCGUAAAUAGUACGGAUUGAAAACUCGUCCGGCCUGAAUCUAUCCACCGAGGGGUGGAAAUCGUCCGUCGCUUUAGGGGAAUGUUCCGGAUGAUACUUGGAGUGGAAUCCACGUUGGAAUACCUCGGUAACCUCGUCUAACCUCGCUGAUCUCCCCUUGCACACUUAGCGACCCUUGUCUUGGCUGGUCGAGGAUGAUCGAUUCUGUUAGCGUUCGGUGUUACUGCUGACAUCGCGUUAUCGCGGUUGGACAUCUGUCGAAGUCGAACAUUUUGUCUUUCCGAUUGUUUUGGAAAUUUUUCAUAUCGCAAUUUGUUAAUCAAUCGAGUGAUAAUUAAUUUUAAAUAUUCUGUAUAACCAUCGAUUGAUCUAAUAUGCCAAUAUUUCAAAUAUACAUUAAACAAUAAUUUUUCCGAAUGUCAACGUGCUUUCACCAUUUGUCUAGCAGUUUACUGUCACCAUGAAUCCUCGGGAACCGGAAACCGUGAAAAACUACCCAGACGAAAUGAGAAACGAACGAGUAUCGUCGCGUUGCAACAUCCAGUCAUCGAUCCUCCACGCAUCCUCGAGGCACAAUGGAGAGACUACGCAAUAAAUUCCGGCUAAAAAAGGAUCGGGAGGUAGGGUGGCCGAUUGAAACGGAGUAAUAGAGGAAAGAGUGGGUAUUGUCGAAAACUUAGGCAUCCACGUUCGUCCCAUAUGGCAUCGAAAUGACGCACCAGGGAGAGAACUGUCGAGGCAGCCGCCGCGUCGCGCGGCGAACUUCGCCGUCUGCGAAUUCACGUUUCUCUAAACCCCCUCGCCCCUUCAUCCAUCCCUCUUCCCUCUUAACCCUCGACUCGUGACGUGCAGCAUUGUGCGACACGCAUUGCCCUCUUCUCGCUAUUAACGCGCUCGUUCAGUCACGAGUGGGCCGUCGUUCCUUUUGAAUGAUUGAGAGCUAAGACAACGCGACAGAUUUCGCGAGUGAAGGACUCGAAGGAUUGGUCCUCGUGCAACUCGCUUCAACUCGCUCUAACGAGACUCUUUCGUUGAUAAAUCCUCGUGAUGGGACUUGAAACUGCAAUAGUGUUAUUCAAUCGUAUUUUAACGCGCAGGACGUGUGGAUAUAUUGUUCAUUCGUUGGUAGCCACUUAACACCUUUACUUAUUUUAAUUAUUUAAAGUUUUAUUAUUUAUAAUUAUUGCCCAAAUCCUUAAUUUUCCAAAUCCAAAUAGUGUGAAAUGCGAACUUAAAUUAAAAUUGAGGUUCUCUCCAUGGUCCGUCGUCCGAGGGUUAAAGGAGGUAAUAAUCGUCAGUGACGAGCAAUAAAUAUAGCUUUAACUUAGAUCAACUGGUGACGAUUAAAAAGUCCAUUUCCUUAAGAAUUAACUUGAACCAUUAGGCGAGAUUGACGGAUAGUUUCUUAUUAUUUCUUUUCCUCUUCUUUGGCUGAACUAAAACGAAGAGGAGAAUAAAGGAAAAGAAGAGUUGCGCUACGAGUCCGCUCUGCUCACUCGACGAUUCAUGGACUCAGCGCGAUCUCAUCUUAAAGAUUACAUCUGAGCGGACUGUAAGGAACUGGGGAUCUCUUUUUCCUGCUGCUCGCGACUGUUCCACCAUUCCUGCUACCCUUUACGAUAUCGUUCAGCCCGCCCCCGUGUUUUCUCCCCAGGAAGAAAGGGAACUUCGAACUGCUCUUUGAUGACGAUGCGUCGCCGACUCCGUGCCCGUAGCUUUAUUUUAUAGGCGUCUUCUUGCCGAUCCAGAUAUUGAUUGAGAUUCGCGAAACUUGCCGAAAGGACCAUCCCCCUCGAAUCGCUGAAACGAAAUCUAUUCGAGGCAGGGUGGCCUCCCGCUUGGUAUUCCAACAACGUUCCAAGUGGUUCAUCCGCGAUCGUGGAUUUGUUCGAGCCGAAUGCUAUUCUAUCGGGGAUAGAGACCAAAAGCUCGUUGUCAGGAAAACAAUGAUCUUUAUCUUAUAUAUAAUUUAGCUUCCUUGUUAUCGAAAGGGGGAUAGGAACGCAGCUAUGUGAACGAUGCGUUUGUGAAUCUCUGAGUCUGCUGCAAUCAGAAUCAAAGAUUUAAAGCCAUUUAAUUUUUAAGAAAAUAAAAAUUAUUGGUCCGUGAUUUUGUAAGAUUCAACUCCUCUGUUUAAAGAUUAAGAAUCAUCAGAAUAGCGUUCUGGUGACUUUAAGAAAAUGACCCACUUCGAAUGCCAUUCAAGGCAUUGGAUUACAAGCGAAAUGUUACCAAGUAAGUGACAAUGAUUUCGUUGAGACACAAGGGAAUCGUGUCAAUUAUAUUCGACGUGUACGUACUACUUUCUUGCUGGUUGCAGAGAUGAUGCUCGCCAAUCAGAAUCGUUUGUAAGCGAAGGACCUGAAGGUGCUUCCAAUUACACGAAACGUCACGGUUGAGUCAAGAGAUCGGGGUCACGUCAUUCCAAGCAGACUUCUCUCUUCUCGCUGCACCCGCGUUUGGUUCACGCUACUUCUCCAUUUUUCUCUUAGUUCGUGUCACUGAUCGCCUUAUCUAAACUGGUUUUAGCCGAGUGCACGAGCGAUACCGUAAAAUUGAAGAGUGUGUAAUUCGAGUUAUUGCUAGAUUCGAUUUGCUAUAAACGAUACAAUGGGUACUAGAACUGUUAAACGAAAUGUUAUGAAAAAUUUAGUUAAUAAUCGAGCAGAAGAACGCGAGUGAUCCUCGAAGAAGCGUUUCGUAACGAUUUUAAAGCAGGUGAACCAGUUAAUUUCUGAACGCUCCGAACCGUCAAACGCGAUUACGUUGCAACCCCCUGCUUUUCUCACCCUCCUUCCCCGUUCUUCCUUCUCACAGCCGAAUAUUGUAGCAAGAUAAAAACUGAAUGCUCCUCCACGGGGCCUGGAUGUCAAAGAUACGGGCCAUAAUUGGGAGGACUAUUCAGUUCUAAAUCGUGGAACACACACGACUUUGUGAUUGACGCGCGUUGUACCUUUUGCAGCCGAUAAAAAGCAUUGUUAACGAUGCAGCAAUUUCAUGGAUAAAUUAACGAGCGCUGUAGCACACGAACACAGCUCAAUGGAAGGAUAUUUUCCAUCGCGAAAGGGAAAAUUUUAAUUUCCUGCGUUCCUCGGAGUCUCGGCAUUAUUUCGAGCAUAAUUACGCGAAAAAGAAAUCAAGUAGGAGAUAAUCGAGGCUAUUAUAAUAGUAAUUAGGAAUUCGUAUAUCAAACAAUGAGCUUCCCAUUUCUGGUUAAUAUUUUGUACGUGUAACAAAUUUUAGAUUAAGUAGGUAUAAUUUAAGCUCCACUUCUAAAAACUGUAUUUUAGGAAGAAAAGAAGGAAUUGUGGUUUCAUUGUUAAAUUCAGAGAUUCGAAGCUUGCGAAUGAAGGGACAAUGAUAUUUUGAAAUCGUAUUGCGGUCUGUGCUCGGUCGUUUGCGUAAUUAUAACCGAAUAAGCCAAUAACACUUGGAAUAAUAACGAUCGGGAAUUAAAAUUUGAAAACCAAUUUAUUCGUUGUGGCUUGAAAUUAUUACCGCGUUAAUUGAAGGACUAAUGAAUUCUGUACGAUCACAAUUACAUUUCGUUGCCCAUGAUUGCCGACUGGACUCGUUUAUUUGUCAAAUUGCACCCCGAUAUUGUCUGGCGAACAGCGAGGAGCCUGGUUAAACAGUAAGUAUUUAUCAACUGGGCGCGAUAAGUUUCUGUUUAAACAAAAUACAGAUCAAUAUUCGCUCUGUUGCUUUACGAUUCAUAAGAAUCAUUUUAAUAUGAAUAAUGUGGAAGAAAUAUAAAAUAUAGAAACUAGAAUAAGAUGAAAUAUUUUUCACACUAGUUACACACUGAAAAGCAAAUGAAUGUUGAAGUUACAUUAACAGUAUCCAAUUAAACACGGAAACAUUUUGUAGUGUUGAUAUAUCAAUGUAGUUCGAUUUAACUUCUGCAAAAGUAUGUCUUCGACGUUUUCCGUAUUUGUGAUUGGUAAGGAAAGGUGCGUAAAAAGGUACGGAGAAAUUGCAUUCGACGUAUCGAGUUUGAUUCAUAGUUGGCGCGAGCAAAUCCAAAAAAUUACUUGCCAUGGCUCGUAUUUCGCGGCCAAGUUCCGUGAAAGUUGUAACCAAGUUGUAAAUGGUCUGUCGUAGGAAAAGUUCGAGGUGGAUGGUAAUGUAACGAAUGCAAUUUCGUUUUAUACCGACAAAGUAGCCCGUAAGUCAAGAAAUUCCUUGCUACUUCCAAACAGUUUCUCGAUCUUAUCCCAAGGAUAUUUAAAAUAUGAAAUUUGUUACGUUUAUCAAGUGCGUAAACCAUUUAAGAAAUAAUAACGCCAUUGUCAAACAAUAAAUCACUACACUGAAGCUUACUUUGGUAGGGUUUUAACUAGAGAAACCUAUAUGAUGAAAAGUUAUGCGUAGUCUUACAUCUGUGAAACCUUUACAUUUCGAUUGUACAUCCCUUACAUCUCUGCACCUCUUACAUCCUUGUAAUACUUAUAUCCCUGCAUCGCUUACAUCUCAGCAUUCCUAACAUCCCUGCAUUCCUUACAUCUCUACAUCCUCUACGUUUCUACAGAUCUCAUAUCUCUGUAUCCCAUACAUAUCUGCGUCUCUUACAUCUCCACAUUCCUACAUUCCUUACAUUUGUUCAUCCCUUACAUCCCAACAUUGUUUUCAUCCCUACAUUUCUUACAUCUCAGCAUCACUUACAUCCCUGCAUUCAUUUCAUCCCUAUAUUCUUUUCAUCCCCACAUUCCUUUUAUACCUCCAUUCCUUUCGUCCUAUAUUCCUUUCAUCCCUACAUUUCUUACAUCUCUUCAUCCCUUACAUCACUGCAUCACUUACAUCCCUGCAUUCAUUUCAUCCCUCCAUUCUUCUCAUCCCUGCAUUCCUUUCAUCCCUACAUUCAUUUCGUCCCUAUAUUCUUUUCAUCCCCACAUCCUUCUCAUACGUCUAUUCCUUUCGUCCUAUAUUCCUUCCACCCCUACAUUCAUUUCAUCUCUACAUUCAUUUCAUCCCUACAUUCAUUUCAUCCCUAUAUUCUUUUUAUCCCCACAUCCUUCUCAUACCUCCAU